GGACUUCAUGAGCACCUUGUGCUUCCUACAGCAUUUGUUUUGCUGAAGUCAAAUGUGUUGCUCCUGUCUUCUGGCAUCAGGAUUGACGAAGAGCUGGCCAGGAGGACUUAUCAUACCCCUCCCCUUUAUUCUUAAUCAUCAUGGGGACCACACAGUUAAUUCUGCCUAGAUGUGCCAGGAGCCUCUGGAGCUCGGAGCAGAUUAUAUCUCAACACCGAGUUGCCUUUUGAAGAUGUACUUGUUACUUUUAAUCAGAUAGUAGCAGCAAUAAAUUCAAAGACUCAGGAAA